UUGUGAUUUGUCAAUCGACGUUUCCAAACAUUCUAAAUUUACAUGCUUUAUAACGAGAAAGAGACAGAGAGAAAUUUAAUCUAAUUAUUUUGCAAAAUAAUUUGAUCAAUCUAAUCUGUUAGAUCGAUGUGUGCUUAAAUUCAAAUUUGUGCAUUUAUUAUAUGACAAGUCUAAAUGCAAAUAAUUUUCCCGAAUUGAAAAUACUUCCUAAUAAAAGAAAAGGAAAAUAUUUGGGUAGUUGUCAAAUGUGUCAAAACGCUUAUUGUAUGUCUUAUAAUAUAGUUAUUAAUUAAAAACGAUACAAUGGAAGAUCAAUCUGGCGAUAUUCUAAAAAAUAGCGCUAAUAUUGAAAUAGAAUCUAAAGAAUUCUUAAAGAGGAAGAUGCAAAUGAAAUCAGAAGCGCUUCUGUUGUUAAGUCAGGAGUUGGAUCAAUGUAGGAUGCAACGAGAUCAGUUUAAAUUAAUGGCGGAACAAAUUCAGGAAAGAUUUUUGCAUUUGAAGAAGAAGAUGUGUGAAACUAAAGAAUCAAAUAAAUGCUACAGUUCAAAUGAAGAUUUUAAAACUUUGGAUUUAUUGACAGAAGCACGAGAACAGAAUAAAUGCCUUAGACUACAGGUUGAAACAUUAAGACAAAAGUUAGCAGAUGCCGAAGCUGAUAUUAAGGCAUUACGUACAAAUAGCAAUCGUACACUGGUUGAGCAACAAGAUGCUCAACUUGCACCAGCAAUGCAUCAAAGAGAAGAAAUGAUAGAGCAAUUAGAAGAAUUAAAUUUAAAAUGUUCACAGUUACAAACAGAUCUACAAAUAGUAUUGGAUGAGAAACAUGAGCUGGAGAUGGAAAGGGAUGCUUUCAAAUGUAAAGCACAUCGUUUGAAUCAUGAGCUAUCAAAAGCUUUAAGUGCCUCCAAGCCAGUUGAUCUGGAUGCACUUAUCAAUGAAAAUAGAUAUCUACAAGAAAGACUGCAGCAAUUGCUUGAAGAGAAGGAACUUACACGUCAAUCUCUGUCAAAAUAUAAGAGUAUGUUGGAUAGCAAAAGAGCUAAAGGAAAUAUCAAGUUGGGUGUAAAUUCUGCAGCUGGAACAGUAAUGACUCACAAACAAGUUGAACAGCUUCUUCAGGAAAGUUCUUAUAUACCACCCCAAAAAUCUGCUGCUGCUGUUACUGAUCUACGGUGUCUUUGUACUGCCUUAUUAGAAGCUUUAAAUGACAAAACUUUGGCUCUGGCCCAUCAAAAGAAAGCAAAUAAAAUAUUGGCAUUGAGAAUUUGUGAAUUGGACAGUGCUGUGCAAUCACCAACCAUGAAACUCUUGGAGGGAUACACAAACGCCAAUGUUGAUUUAAGAUGUGAUAAUGAUUUAGAUCAUACAACUAAUUGUAAUACAGAUAACAUUGAGGAAAACAGUAUUAUAACAAACGAAAAUAAUGCACAGUGUAGCUCUUCUGAGAGUCAAGUUAUGCAACAAUUGCAAUCGAUACAAAUGAGUCUUCCAAAGAAUUUGGGAGUAUUAGUUCAAAAAGCAUUAAAUAAUCUGAAAGAUAAUGAUAAACAAAAAAAGAUAUGAAAUUAGAAAUGUUCGAUAUACAGAGAAAUGUAUGAACGUGCCUCCCCAUACAGAUAUAAUGUAUAUAUAACACAUAUUUCUGAACAGCACAUAUAAACUCAACUUUAAAGAUUAAUUUAUCGUAAGUGUUGGCAAGACAGCAAGUGCUACUUAAUAUUUUGUUAAAUUU